GCAAGUCGAACGCUCUCGACCUUCGGGUCACAUGAGAGAGUGGCGAACGGGUGCGUAACACGUGAGAAACCUGCCCUGAAGGCGGGGAUAACACGAGGAAACUCGUGCUAAUACCCGAUGCCCUCCUUAGACCGCAUGGUCCGUUGAGGAAAGGCUCCGGCGCCUCAGGAGGGUCUCGCAGCUGAUCAGCUUGUUGGUGAGGUAACGGCUCACCAAGGCAUCGACGGGUAGCUGGUCUGAGAGGACGAUC
rnacentral:rRNA from 1 species